UUCAUUCCCUGCGUCCAUCCUCUUCUGCGUUUCUCCUUUCUCUUUUUCCCUACCUCUUUCGUUUUCCUUUUCUUUUUUCCUCUACUGUUUUUCCCUAACCCUCAUCUUCUCCUUUUCAUCUCCCAAGCCAGCCUUGUUCUUUGUGCGCCAUGGCCAAGCCUCUCUUUCUUCCAAUCACGCCCAUUCUUCUCCUUGCUUGUCUCUGUCGAUCUCAUGGACUUAGAUUUGUGUAUAUGUACCAGCAAUACAUUAGAAGAAGACGUAGAAAACGGCACCAUUGUGACUUUGCUGGCGACAUUCAAGCACUUCGGCACAUGUUGCUGAACUGCUUAUAUUGCCAAAGAAUUUGAAACGGAAGGAUUUCGAAAGAUUUAACCAACAAUACAUGUGAAGAAGACGUAGAAAACGGCACCAUUGUGGCUUUGCUGGCGACAUUCAAGCACUUCGGGCACAUGUUGCUGAACUGCUUAUAUUGCCAAAGAAUUUGAAACGGAAGGAUUUCGAAAGAUUUAACCAAAUUGACCACUUGAAUAUGCCCUUACAUAUUCUCAACUCUGAUUGAUAUUGGCCACAUUUUAAGGAUUGCAUUGGUGCGAUUGAUGGGGUUCAGGUCUCAGUAGUCUUAUCAGCUCAUAAGCAACAUACAUACAGAGGAAGGAAAAAAGAACUAACAAUUAAUUGCAUGUGUGCUUGUGAUUUUGGCAUGAAAUUUGCAGUCCCAUGUGUUGGAUGGGAAGGGUCAGCACAUGAGACAAGAAUAUUUUUAAAUUGCCUCAAUAAUGAGAGUGACAACACUUGGUUUGUAUUGUUGAAUUUUAAUUAAUGUAUUAAAAAUAUGUGUUAUGAAGUGAAAAUGUCAAUAUAAUAAAUAUUCUCAUUUGCAAGAAAAUAUUAUCCACCCACCCUACCUUCUUAGCCUAGUUUUGACCUUGGUAUUAAAUUCAAUUUGACCCCUCCUAUGCACCCCGCGACACCCUCAUACCCUUCUACCGGCUCCAAUGCACCCACUUUGCCCAUAGACCCACCCUGUACUGAACUCAUGACAAUUAUCUCCACUUCUGGCCUCUAUACAGAACAACAUGACCCACCUACUACAAACGUAACUCACACAACCACUCCUACCUCAUCCUCAGCCGACCCUCUAGGACCUCCAGUUGGGAUUGACACUCAACAGCCAAAUACUGAUGUAUUGGAUGAGCAUCCCUCUCAUCAGCCCUCACCUCCACAAGGUAGGCUGCAACGUACUAGAAGAGCACCCACUUGUGGGACAGGUGGACACAAAAUAGGACACAAAGACAGCUCUAUGCACGAUGAUGAGAUUGAGGAGGAUGCCCCGCAGCCUCCUCCGCCGCCCAAACAUUACACAAGGCUUAAAAAACGCAAAAUUGGUUAGUCUACAAUCUAAGGUACUGCAAACACAUGCAGAUGAAGUUUGGUUUUUGGAAUUUUCGCAUAAUUGGAAAUAUCUCCGUUCAUCAUCAAAAGAUCAAUCAGCAAUUAUAUGGGAGAGGAACUAUUCUGGAUUCAGGAGGUAGUCAGGCAAAUUUCUUGAUGCAAGCCUUUAUCUAAACCAAGCGUUCAUUCGUCAACAUGUCAAGGGACUUUGGAUAUUACUGGCUUAGGCUUGCAAUUUACAUUGUAGUCACUAUCUGCAUUGGGACCAUCUAUUUGAAUGUCGGGACAGGCUACACUUCAAUUCUGUUGUUGGCUCUAAAAAAUAGAGACACAAAUGAAGUUGGGGUUAAAUGCAUCAAGAAAGAAGCUGAGGGUUCUUGGAGCAGUCACAGUUAAUCAGUCGCCACCUAUUCCCUUCAUUCCUUAGGCCUACAAGCAUGACCCAACUCCUCCUCCGAGGACCAGAUCUCCAAUCCAUAAAAAUUGAUCACAUGGCUCAAGAUGAAAGCUUCUGCAACAAGCAUGACCCAACUCCUCCAAUCCUCCGAGGACCAGAUCUCCAAUCCAUAAAAAUUGACCACAUGGCUCAAGAUGAAAGCUUCUGCAACAAGCAUGACCCAACUCCUCCAAGGACCAGAUAAACAUAACUUUUGGCCAUGGCCAUUGAAGUAAAAUUCAAUUCUCAAACAAAGUAAUCCACAAUUUACUUGUUCAUCUAUGAGUUGGGUGUUUGAAUUCAUAUUUUGGCACAGUAGAUUGGUGUAUAGAUUUAAACAUAUGCUAGCUGCUCAGUUGGGCUACAAAUCAGUAUGGGAAAUUGAUUAAACUGUGGAAAUUACAUACUUUCUUGCCCAUCAGUCAGUGAAAUGUGAUAUAUAUGCUAGGUUGAAUCA